rnacentral:tRNA from 1 species
GCUCCCAUCGUCCAGUCCGGUCAAAGAUUUCGGAUUCUCGAUCCGACGACUUGGGUUCAAAUCCCAAUGGGAGCA